UUUUGUAUGUUCUGUUUGCCAGGCGGCGAGUGCUCUAAAAUCCGCUUUGACAGCUCGCCUGUCAGCUGAGCCCAACCAAAACGGCCGCCUGUGGUGCGAUGUGUAUGUGUGUGGGUGUGGGCUGUUUUGCUGGUUGUUUACUAUUUUGUUGGAACUCCGGCAACAUAUGCUAAUGACUCGGCAGCCGGUGUCGUAACAGGAGCGGGCGUUGCUGCGGUACCGGAGCAGGCCACUCAGCUGGAGGCUUUCAGUCAGUUUAAGGCCAACUGGGCUGCUGGGCACACACACAGAAACACACAUUGGCUUCAUCAAAAUGAAAUUUGCUGGCAAACACAUGACGUAAAACUACUUGGCAGUUGCAGUGUGGCUCAUAUGCAAAUCAAUGCUGUGCCCAGCCUUCAUUGCCAGCACACCAUGCAAAGCCCGCAUACGCCAUGUGCGCCCAGGCGACGAGGCUUUUGCACCUGACGCAACAAAAUCAAUUAGACACUUGCACACGAGGAUUUUAGCAGCACAAUAACUAAAACGACAACAACAGCAACAAUUGCAAUAUGAACAAGCCAACAACAAUUGCAAUUUAAUGUGCUGCCGUUGCCUGCUAAUGAUAAUGUUGUUAUGUGCCUAUUAUCGUUGUUGGUUCUGUUGUUUCUGUUUCUGUUUCCAUUGCAGCUGGAGCCUGAGUUGCGAUUGCAGUUGUUCUGGCUUGUACGGCACAUACAAUUCAUUUGCAUUUCAAUGAAAAGCUUCUGUUUGAGUACACAUAUGACAAUCGAGCUUCCAAACGAAUUCCAUGGGGAACCUUUCUUAUUGCUGUUGAAUCUGUGCAAAACAGUUUAAGAGGAUUCUUACGAUAAACAUACUUUAAGAAAUAUUUUAAUUUAUAUUUAUUAUA